UUUUUUGAUUUCCAAAAUGGCAGCCUCCAGCCGCGCACGAGUGUUAUAUCUGUACCGGGAGAUGCUGAGAGAGAGCAAGCGUUUCAGCACAUACAACUACAGAACAUAUGCUGUCAGGAGGAUAAGAGAUGCCUUCAGAGAAAAUAAAAAUGUAAAGGAUCCUGUAGAAAUUCAAGUCCUAGUGAAUAAAGCCAAAAGAGACCUUGAAAUAAUUCGUCGACAGGUCCACAUUGGCCAACUAUAUUCAACUGACAAGCUGAUCAUUGAGAAUCAAGAGAUGCCUAGGACCUAGGGAGCCGGGAAACAGCCACCAGAGGCGGCCGGGGGACCACCUUCAGUAUCCACUCUCUCCUUGGGAUGGGGGCUCCCAACAUCAGCUUAAAAUAGCCUCUUGCUCUGCCUGCCUUGUAGGAGCUGAUAAACUGAAUCACAUUUCCAUUCUGUUGCAGUCUUAGUGAAAAGGGCAGCCAUCUCUCCUGGGUUCAAGGGUCAGAAUGAAGAGCUGGAGCUCACUCUCAAGUAAUGUGUGUUGUUAUGUCUCCUCUCUACCCUGCUCCUAUCCUGUAGCUCAUGACCACUGUGUAGAUUUCCAGACUUUGUUUCCCGGUCCUUGACAAUAAACAAUUGUCUCCCUAAAAAAAAAAAA